UACAAAGGGUCGCCAACCCGCGAGGGGGGAGCCAAUACCCAUAAAACCAUUCGUAGUCCGGAUCGCAGUCUGCAACUCGACUGCGUGAAGUCGGAAUCGCUAGUAAUCGUGGAUCAGAAUGUCACGGUGAAUACGUUCCCGGGUCUU
rnacentral:rRNA from 1 species